GUUAUCAAGAAAGGUGGAGGGAUUAGACCCAAGGAAACCUUAGCAACCCUUUGUUCUAUACAAAGAAGGUGCUAACUUCUACAAGAGCAUAUUUGCUUGAGAUAGAUAA
rnacentral:ncRNA from 1 species